AGAAGAACCCAGGCAGGUCCUGAAAUAUGCAUAAAAAGAACAGAAUUUCUGGGAAAAAAAAAUCCCAAAAUUUCCCAAAAGUUCUCAGAAGUUUCAGGAAGGCCCUGGAAGGUUCUGGAAGGUGCAGAAAGGUUCAGGAAAGGUCCUGGAAGGUCCCAAAAAAGCCCAGAAAUAGCAGAGACAGGUCCUGAAAGAUGCAUAAAAAGCCCCAAAAUUCCUGGGAAAAAAAUCCCAAAAAAUCCCAGAAAAUUUCUGGAAGGUCCCAGAAGGUUCAGAGAAGGUUCCAGAAGGCACAGAAAGGUCCUGGAAGGUGCAGAAAGAGCCGAAAAACAGCCCAAAAAGAGCCCAGACAGGUCCUGAAAGAUGCAUAAAAAGAUCAGGAUUUGGGGUAAAAAAAUCCCAAAAAAUUCCCAAAAAAUCGCAGAAAAUUUGGGAAGGUCCCGGAAGGUUCAGAGAAGGUUCCAGAAGGUGCAGAGAAGGUCCUGGAAGGUCCCAAAAAAGCCCAGAAAUAGCAGAGACAGGUCCUGGAAGGUACAUAAAAAGCCCCAAAAUUCCGGGAAAAAAAUCCCAAAAAAUCCCAGAAAAUUUGGAAAGGUCCCAGAAGGUUCAGAGAAGGUUCAGAAAAGGUCCUGGAAGGUGCAGAAAGAGCCGAAAAACAGCCCAAAAAGCGCCCAGACAGGUCCUGAAAGAUGCAUAAAAAGCCCCAAAAUUCCAGGAAAAAAAUCCCAAAAAAUCCCAGAAAUUUCUGGAAGGUCCCGGAAGGUUCAGAGAAGGUUCCAGAAGGCACAGAAAGGUCCUGGAAGGUGCAGAAAUAGCCCAGAAAUAGCAGAGACAGGUCCUGGAAGGUAGAUAAAAAGCCCCAAAACUCCGGGAAAAAAAUCCCAAAAAAUUCCCAAAAAAUUGCAGAAAUUUUGGAAAGGCCCCAGAAGGUUCCAGAAUGUUCAGAAAGGUCCUGGAAGGUGCAGAAAGCAUCAGAAAAUGUUCCAGAAGGUGCAGAAACAGCCCAAAAAGAGCAGAGACAGGUCCUGGAAGGUACA